rnacentral:lncRNA from 10 species
AGAAAGCAGAUGGAAAUCCAGAGAGCAUCAGGAAUGCCCCUGAAGGCCAGUGGGGACAUCCCACAGCAAAUCCAACACCCUGCGGAGCCGGCCAUGAUUCCCAAGGGCCAGGCACUUCCCCAGAACUUCUAGAAUGUGGUAAGCACUUAACCGUUCAAUAAGUUAAUCAAUUCCUUAGCCACCGAACAGCUGAAGAUGAGCUUUGAGGCUGUUUUAACAUCUCCAGGUGUGUGGCUGGGGCUGAGCCUCAUUGGCUAUGGCAUCACAAGGCCUCAUUGCACGGGGAUUCUGAGGUUCAAGCAGCACCUCCACCCAGGGAGGGAGGAAUUGCUCUCAUCCCAUUUUACAGAUGAGGCUCAAGAGUGCAGGAGCCAAGGUGGAGCCAGAAUCUUGCCUCAGGACCCAGAAGAGCUCACCUAGCUUGCUUGAGGGGAGGGCUCCGAAUUCCCACUGCAACAGGAGCUCUGAGGUCUGAGCCCCCUACAUGCCCCAUGUCCUCCACACGCCUGGCCUAGACUCUGGCACCCCCCUAAGUCUAUCUGGCCACAGUGACCACGAUCUUACCCUUACACCAACCAGCAGUUCUCAAAGCACAGUCAGGGGACCCCUGGGGGUCCAAAAGUCAUGUUUAUAGUAACACUCAGAUAUCAUUUGCCUUUUUUGCCCUCAUUCUCUCAUAAGGUGACAGGCGAGUUUUCCAGAGACUGAUGUGUGACAUCGGGACUGAUUGAACUCGGAGGCAGAUUCGAAGGUCCCGC